ACAGGUGGGGGCUGCACAGCCCGCAUCUCUGCAAGGAGGGGAAGCCGCGCCAAGCAGGGAGCAGUGCCGGUGAGGACGGCCCCCAGUCUGACGGUAACCGAGACACGAGGAGCCCAUCUCGUGCCGGAAGGAUCAGGCCACCGGCUGCCAAGAAGCUGCUGCGCUGAGGCUCUCCAUGAACAGCUGCUUCUUCAUUAAAAGCAACACCUUAUUUCUGCCGGCCCGGGCUUACCGAAGAAGCACGGGCCUCGUUCUGAGCCUUCCGAAGUGCCCACAAAGCCUUCUGCUGGUGUCAGAGGCUACGACGCUGCUAAAAGGCUCCUUCUCCCCGUCAGGUGGACCUUUUCUUCCUGUAUUCCCUCCCAUCUGAUCCCGGAAGGCAGCGAUGACCUCACCGAGGUGAUGACCUCAGGGUGCUGAGCUGCCCAGAAGGGAGCCCAGGAUGCCCAGGGCUGCUCAUAGUGCAACGUGUUGGCACCCAGCGCAGGAGGGACGUGGAGCUGUUGGAGCGGGUCCAGAGGAGGCCACUGAGAUGGUCAGAGGGCUGCAGCACCUCUCCUGUGAGGAAAGGUUGAGGGAACUGGGCUUGUUAGGCUUGGAGAAGAGAAGGCUGCGGGGAGACCUCAUUACUGAACCUACAGGCGGUCCACGGAUGAUCCAGAAAUGCAUGGGCUGGCCUGCAGGUCUCCCUCCCCAUGGCUGUGACAAACACAGGUCGCACUGCUCAGGCUGCAUUGUGCCGUCUACUCCAGAAACUGCUGACGGAAUGCUCCUCUCGCAAUGCAUCGCUGCUGUUCUGCAUCCUUGGCAGGAAAAUAGAGAAGUGGGUGAC
rnacentral:lncRNA from 7 species